UCCCUGGUGGUUGAAUGGUUAGGAAUCCACACUUUCACUGCUGAGGGACCAGGUUCAAUUCCUGGUCAGGGAA
rnacentral:tRNA from 1 species